UACGAAGGGGGCUAGCGUUGCUCGGAAUCACUGGGCGUAAAGCGCACGUAGGCGGAUUGUUAAGUCAGGGGUGAAAUCCUGGAGCUCAACUCCAGAACUGCCUUUGAUACUGGCGAUCUCGAGUCCGGGAGAGGUGAGUGGAACUGCGAGUGUAGAGGUGAAAUUCGUAGAUAUUCGGAAGAACACCAGUGGCGAAGGCGGCUCACUGGUCCGGUACUGACGCUGAGGUGCGAA
rnacentral:rRNA from 1 species